UACGAAGGGGGCUAGCGUUGCUCGGAAUUACUGGGCGUAAAGCGCACGUAGGCGGCUUUCUAAGUCGGGGGUGAAAUCCUGGAGCUCAACUCCAGAACUGCCUUCGAUACUGGAAGCUCGAGUCCGGGAGAGGUGAGUGGAACUGCGAGUGUAGAGGUGAAAUUCGUAGAUAUUCGCAAGAACACCAGUGGCGAAGGCGGCUCACUGGCCCGGUACUGACGCUGAGGUGCGAAAGCGUGGGGAGCAAACAGG
rnacentral:rRNA from 1 species